rnacentral:rRNA from 1 species
UAGCGGAGGGAGCUAGCGUUGUUCGGAUAUACUGGGCGUAAAGCGCACGUUAGGCGGCGCAGCAAGUCAGGGGUGAAAUCCCGGGGCUCAACCCCGGAACUGCCCUUGAAACUGCAGUGCUAGAAUCUUGGAGAGGCGAGUGGAAUUCCGAGUGUAGAGGUGAAAUUCGUAGAUAUUCGGAAGAACACCAGUGGCGAAGGCAGCCAUCUGGACCGACACUGACGCUGAGGCGCGAAAGCGUGGGGAGCAAACAGGAUAGAUACC